GGUGAACGCUGGCGGCGUGCUUAAGACAUGCAAGUCGAACGGCAGUCUUCGGACUGUAGUGGCGCACGGGUGAGUAACGCGUAACUGACCUACCCCAAAGUCGCGGAUAACGAUUCGAAAGAAUCGCUAAUACGUGAUGUGCUGUCAGAUUGUGUUCUGCCAGUAAAGAUUGAUUGCUUUGGGAUGGGGUUGCGUUCCAUCAGCGAGUUGGUGGGGUAAAGGCCCACCAAGGCGACGACGGAUAGCCGGCCUGAGAGGGUGGCCGGCCACAGGGGCACUGGGACACGGGUCCCACUCCUACGGGAGGCAGCAGUUAGGAAUCUGCCACAAUGGGCGAAAGCCUGAUGGAGCGACGCCGCGUGAGGGAUGAAGGUCUUCGGAUCGUAAACCUCUGAAUCAGGGACGAAAGACACUUCGGUGGGAUGACGGUACCUGAGUAAUAGCACCGGCUAACUCCGUGCCAGCAGCCGCCGUAAAAC
rnacentral:rRNA from 1 species